rnacentral:tRNA from 1 species
UCCCCAGUGGCUCAGUUGGUAAAGAAUCUGCCUGCAAUGCAGAAGACCCAUGUUCAAUCCCUGGGUCGGGAA